CGUAGGGUGCGAGCGUUGUCCGGAAUUAUUGGGCGUAAAGGGCUCGUAGGCGGUUUGUCGCGUCGGGAGUGAAAACGCCGUGCUUAACACGGCGCUUGCUUUCGAUACGGGCAGACUAGAGGUAUUCAGGGGAGAACGGAAUUCCUGGUGUAGUGGUGAAAUGCGCAGAUAUCAGGAGGAACACCGGUGGCGAAGGCGGUUCUCUGGGAAUGACCUGACGCUGAGGAGCGAAAGUGUGGGGAGCGAACAGGAUU
rnacentral:rRNA from 1 species